rnacentral:rRNA from 1 species
UGGUGUUACUGGUUCCUACCUUCUGACGAACCAUCAUGUCAUUCAUUUGGUGUGGCGGGGAAUCAGGACUGUUACUUUGAAAAAAUUAGAGUGUUUAAAGCAGGCUCGCGCUUGAAUACAUUAGCAUGGAAUAAUGAAAUAGGACGUUGAUCCUAUUUUGUUGGUUUCUAGGAUUGACGUAAUGAUUAAUAGGGAUAGUUGGGGGCAUUAGUAUUCAAUUGUCAGAGGUGAAAUUCUUGGAUUUAUUGAAGACUAACUACUGCGAAAGCAUUUGCCAAGGAUGUUUUCAUUAAUCAAGAACGAAAGUUAGGGGAUCGAAGACGAUCAGAUACCGUCGUAGUCUUAACCAUAAACUAUGCCGACUAGGGAUCGAA